rnacentral:lncRNA from 1 species
CUGAAUGAAUACACUUUCAGAGAAACUUUUAGCAGGUAGUUUUCUGCCAAAAGUUUUCAGAAAUAUUAUUCUGAAUACAAAAUAAUGAGACAGAAAAGGCUCUGCAAGUACCAUUAAAUUCAUCCUUGACAAGCUUUACUUAACAUGAGUCAUGGAGGACAACUAAGCAUAGCAUCAAGUAAGAACCACAAAUGAUCUCAGAUAGCGAAAACUCAAAUGAUCCUCAGAUCCCGAUUUCGAGCAUUAGGACCCAUUCAAUAAUUUGGUUUAUAUGAUUAAACAUUAUUGAUCUUGGUGGGGAUCACAGGGUUACAAAGGGAGUUGAUGCAUUGAAGAUGCAGGAAUUCUACUAAAAAAUGGCCUCAUCAUAAAUUUGUUCUCUCAUUAUAAAUAAUCCCUCUUUUUUCCUGAAAGUAGGUGACCACUUUUUCGCUUUCAAAGUCUUUAGAUUAUCAAACCUGUAAUUCCCAGCAAAAGUGGAGAAUUUAAUGUUGAAAUUAUCAUUACUUUUUACUACUUUUCCUUCUUUCUAGCAAGGUAGAUUAUAUGAUUAAUCACUAGAGGAAAAUACAGCAAGCAUUAACCGCAAUACUUUGUUGACCAGAAAGCAUCAUAAGAUCACCAUAACACUGCAAAACUGACAGAGUGUUAACAUGGUAAAAGACAUUAUGAUUCUGCAAUAUAUAUCAGUACAAUAUCAGCUUGAUUAUUGCUUGGAUUAGAUUAAAAUAAGAUAAUUAAACAACCGAAGAAUCUACUUGAUGCAUAUGCAAAUCAGAAUCUGCAUCAGUUACAACAAUUUCCAGUAAGCUUUUCGACAUAAAAUGUUCACAUGCUGCAUUAUGCAAACUACUAUCGAUAAUUAUACAUUAAUCGCUGUAUAAUAAACGAGUUCCAAAUAUGACUAUCACAAUGGCAGAAAAACCAAAUUAGAAUCCCCCUCUUAAUCCUUUCCUUCGUCGGUCCUAACUUGCUAAGUGAAUAUGUGAUCUUUUUUCCUCUUUGUACUAUAUCCACCUUAAAAGAAGGUACCCAAGGAUCCUUAAAAAGCAUGGAACUACUACCUUUUGCUUCAUACUAGAACAUGGUUGGUCCUCCACUUUUUUGUCUCAUAAAUGGUGCAGUAAUGGUUAAAAUGCACUACAGGUCCCUAAACUUAUAUUAGUCAAAACUCGACAUUGGUCCUCAAACUUCAAAGUUGGACAUUCAAUACCUGAAACUUUUGAGAGUGCUCCACUUAAGUCCUUGUUGUCACAUUAAAAUAAAGGAAAAUUAUUUCGUGCACCUCAAUACGAAUCCAUCAGCCCGUACUUCUAUUUUGUGAUUUCAAUCCAGCCAUCCAAUUUCUAAGUAGAGAAAAGACUGCAACUCAAUGAGCUGUAGAGAUUUGAAUAUCAAAUGGAGUGCCUGCAAGAAAACUAGAGUGAAGCACUCAAGCACAAAUGGGGUUAUCAAUAUCUAACUUAAAAAACAUUAGAGGAACAAAAUGGAAGUUAAAUAGGAGUUUGGAGACUGGUAGUGCAAUUUGCCCAAACAAGAACAAGCAAGAAAAUUCUGCAUGCAAAUUCAGUGGCCCCCCACCCAAAUCUCUCUCUUUCUAUCACUUCUAAUAAAAAAAGGCCUGCAACAGUUUCUCCACUACCCUCUCUCCCCUUUUGGCAACCACAACCUCACUUCAUAGUGCUUUGCAUGUGCCCCCUUCUGAUUCCUGGGGGAAGACAUGGAGCACUAACAACUAAGCCCUUUCAUCCUUCCUCCCAAACACUCUUUGUUGGACCAGCUUUAGGCUUUUAAAAGCAGCCAAUGUUUCCCCCCACAGAAAGCCCUUUAACACUACCUUAGCCCAUGCAGCAUGGUGUUGCUUUACCUUAGGGAUAAAGGAAAGAAGCUUCAAAGGAGAUUCCCCCUCUGAGGAGAUCUUGUACAUAUAAUACCCUUCAGAAUACACUUAUUUGUGAGUAUACCCCUCAGACAUUUGCAAUUGACAUUUGCACACUUCGCAAUCACUCAAAAUUGCUUCCAUAGCAUAAAACUUUUCAAUUUGAACACAAUCAUAUUUGCAUGUAUAUUCUAUUCAACCUUUUGAGUCUUCUCAUGCUGAGGACUAAAGAGGUCU